rnacentral:rRNA from 1 species
AUAACUGUGGUAAUUCUAGAGCUNAUAUUUNACANNUGCCGUGACUCACGAAGCGGNGGAUUUAUUAGAUCAAAAUCAACCUGUCGAAAGGCGGUNUUUUGAUGACUCUGGAUAACUUUACUGAUCGUACGACCUUAGUGUUGACGACAUAUCUCUUGAAGUGGCUGCCCUAUCAACUUUCGAUGGUAAGAUCAAAGCUUACCAUGGUUGUAACGGGUAACGGGGAAUCAGUGUUCGAUUCCGGAGAGGGAGCCUGAGAAACGGCUACCACAUCCACGGAAGGCAGCAGGCGCGCAAAUUACCCAAUNCCGGUUCGGUGAGGUAGUGACAAAAAAUAACAAUAUGGGCCCUAGUGGUUUCAUAAUUGCAAUGAGAACAUNUUAAAUACUUU